UACGAAGGGGGCUAGCGUUGUUCGGAAUUACUGGGCGUAAAGCGCGCGUAGGCGGACAUUUAAGUCAGGGGUGAAAUGCCGGGGCUCAACCUCGGAACUGCCUCUGAUACUGGAUGUCUGGAGUUCGGGAGAGGUGAGUGGAAUUCCGAGUGUAGAGGUGAAAUUCGUAGAUAUUCGGAGGAACACCAGAAGCGAAGGCGGCUCACUGGCCCGAUACUGACGCUGACGGCGCGAAAGCGUGGGGAGCAAACAGGG
rnacentral:rRNA from 1 species